rnacentral:rRNA from 1 species
CAUAGGUUAAUGAGGCGAACCGGGGGAACUGAAACAUCUAAGUACCCCGAGGAAAAGAAAUCAACCGAGAUUCCCCCAGUAGCGGCGAGCGAACGGGGAGCAGCCCAGAGCCUGAAUCAGUGUGUGUGUUAGUGGAAGCGUCUGGAAAGGCGCGCGAUACAGGGUGACAGCCCCGUACACAAAAAUGCACAUACUGUGAGCUCGAUGAGUAGGGCGGGACACGUGGUAUCCUGUCUGAAUAUGGGGGGACCAUCCUCCAAGGCUAAAUACUCCUGACUGACCGAUAGUGAACCAGUACCGUGAGGGAAAGGCGAAAAGAACCCCGGCGAGGGGAGUGAAAAAGAACCUGAAACCGUGUACGUACAAGCAGUGGGAGCACGCUUAGGCGUGUGACUGCGUACCUUUUGUAUAAUGGGUCAGCGACUUAUAUUCUGUAGCAAGGUUAACCGAAUAGGGGAGCCGAAGGGAAACCGAGUCUUAACUGGGCGUUAAGUUGCAGGGUAUAGACCCGAAACCCGGUGAUCUAGCCAUGGGCAGGUUGAAGGUUGGGUAACACUAACUGGAGGACCGAACCGACUAAUGUUGAAAAAUUAGCGGAUGACUUGUGGCUGGGGGUGAAAGGCCAAUCAAACCGGGAGAUAGCUGGUUCUCCCCGAAAGCUAUUUAGGUAGCGCCUCGUGAAUUCAUCUCCGGGGGUAGAGCACUGUUUCGGCAAGGGGGUCAUCCCGACUUACCAACCCGAUGCAAACUGCGAAUACCGGAGAAUGUUAUCACGGGAGACACACGGCGGGUGCUAACGUCCGUCGUGAAGAGGGAAACAACCCAGACCGCCAGCUAAGGUCCCAAAGUCAUGGUUAAGUGGGAAACGAUGUGGGAAGGCCCAGACAGCCAGGAUGUUGGCUUAGAAGCAGCCAUCAUUUAAAGAAAGCGUAAUAGCUCACUGGUCGAGUCGGCCUGCGCGGAAGAUGUAACGGGGCUAAACCAUGCACCGAAGCUGCGGCAGCGACGCUGAUGCGUUGUUGGGUAGGGGAGCGUUCUGUAAGCCUGUGAAGGUGUGCUGUGAGGCAUGCUGGAGGUAUCAGAAGUGCGAAUGCUGACAUAAGUAACGAUAAAGCGGGUGAAAAGCCCGCUCGCCGGAAGACCAAGGGUUCCUGUCCAACGUUAAUCGGGGCAGGGUGAGUCGACCCCUAAGGCGAGGCCGAAAGGCGUAGUCGAUGGGAAACAGGUUAAUAUUCCUGUACUUGGUGUUACUGCGAAGGGGGGACGGAGAAGGCUAUGUUGGCCGGGCGACGGUUGUCCCGGUUUAAGCGUGUAGGCUGGUUUUCCAGGCAAA